rnacentral:sRNA from 1 species
CAAAUGCUUUGGAUUAUGACACAUUAUGACCAUAGAAACACUAACAAAGCUAUUUACUCCUUCUAAGCAAUAUUAUGUUGGUUAUACCUUCUUUUGAGAGAAAAUGGGUAUAAGUGUUCUCUAAACACUCUUAAUCUAACUCAAACUCUUAUAAUUAGUCAAAUGCAUUGGAUUGUGACACAGUUUCAUUAUAGAAACACUAACAAAUCUAUUGACUGCUUCUAAGCAAGUUUUGUUGGUUUUAGACUCUUUUGGAAG